rnacentral:rRNA from 1 species
ACUGAACGCUGGCGGCAUGCCUUACACAUGCAAGUCGAACGGUAACGCGGGGCAACCUGGCGACGAGUGGCGAACGGGUGAGUAAUGCAUCGGAACGUGCCCAGUAGUGGGGGAUAGCCCGGCGAAAGCCGGAUUAAUACCGCAUACGACCUACGGGUGAAAGCGGGGGACCGUAAGGCCUCGCGCUAUUGGAGCGGCCGAUGUCAGAUUAGGUUGUUGGUGGGGUAAAAGCCUACCAAGCCGACGAUCUGUAGCUUGUCUGAGAGGACGACCUGCCUGACGGGGACUGGGACACGGGCAAGACUCCUACGGGAGGGACGAGGGUGGAAUUUUGGACAAUGGGGGCAACCCUGCUCCAGCCAUGCCGCGUGAGGGAAGAAGGCCUUGGGGUUGUAAACCGCUUUUGGCAGGGAAGAAACGCUCUGGGCUAAUCACCCGUGGUAAGGGCGGUACGUGAAGAAUAAGCACCGGCUCACUACCUGCCAGCCGCCGCCGUAACAC